GAUGAACGCUAGCGAUAGGCUUAACACAUGCAAGUCGAGGGGCAGCAUGGUCUUAGCUUGCUAAGACUGAUGGCGACCGGCGCACGGGUGCGUAACGCGUAUGCAACUUGCCUCACAGAGGGGGAUAACCCGUCGAAAGACGGACUAAUACCGCGUACACUUGGGAUAGGGCAUCCUGACCCAAGGAAAUGAAAUUCGCUGUGAGAUAGGCAUGCGUCCCAUUAGCUAGUUGGUGAGGUAACGGCUCACCAAGGCGACGAUGGGUAGGGGAACUGAGAGGUGGAACCACCACACUGGUACUGAGACACGGACCAGACGCCUACGGGAGGCAGCAGUGAGGAAUAUUGGGCAAUGGGCGAGAGCCUGAACCAGCCAAGUCGCGUGAAGGAUGACUGUCUUAUGGAUUGUAAACUUCUUUUAUACGGGAAUAACAAGAGUCACGUGUGGCUCCCUGCAUGUACCGUAUGAAUAAGCAUCGGCUAACUCCGUG
rnacentral:rRNA from 1 species